UACGUAGGGUGCGAGCGUUGUCCGGAAUUAUUGGGCGUAAAGAGCUCGUAGGCGGUGUGUCACGUCGGCCGUCGAAAACCUGCAGCUUAACUGUGGGCGUGCGGUCGAUACGGGCAUCACUGGAGUUCGGCAGGGGAGACUGGAAUUCCUGGUGUAGCGGUGAAAUGCGCAGAUAUCAGGAGGAACACCGGUGGCGAAGGCGGGUCUCUGGGCCGAUACUGACGUGGAGGAGCGAAAGCCGUGGGGAGCAAACAGG
rnacentral:rRNA from 1 species